CCGAGUGAGGGCCCUCUGGGUCCAACCUCCCACCCGUGUUUAUUUUACCUUGUUGCUUCGGCGGGCCCGCCUUAACUGGCCGCCGGGGGGCUUACGCCCCCGGGCCCGCGCCCGCCGAAGACACCCUCGAACUCUGUCUGAAGAUUGUAGUCUGAGUGAAAAUAUAAAUUAUUUAAAACUUUCAACAACGGAUCUCUUGGUUCCGGCAUCGAUGAAGAACGCAGCGAAAUGCGAUACGUAAUGUGAAUUGCAAAUUCAGUGAAUCAUCGAGUCUUUGAACGCACAUUGCGCCCCCUGGUAUUCCGGGGGGCAUGCCUGUCCGAGCGUCAUUUCUGCCCUCAAGCACGGCUUGUGUGUUGGGCCCCGUCCUCCGAUCCCGGGGGACGGGCCCGAAAGGCAGCGGCGGCACCGCGUCCGGUCCUCGAGCGUAUGGGGCUUUGUCACCCGCUCUGUAGGCCCGGCCGGCGCUUGCCGAUCAACCCAAAUUUUUAUCCAGGUUGACCUCGGAUCAGGUAGGGAUACCCGCUGAACUUAAGCAUAUCAA
rnacentral:rRNA from 1 species